rnacentral:lncRNA from 1 species
UCCAUUUAAAUAAUUAAUUUAAAGGUUAAUAUACAAUUAAAUUAAUCAAGCUCAAUUUAAAUUAAUAAUUAAGAGCUCAAAUACUUUAAAUAGAUAUAAGCCCAAAUUAAUUAGAUAAAUUAAGUCUAUCAUGUUUUUCUUUGAAUAAGGCCCAAACAAUAAAAUUAAAGAAGCCCAAAUCAUUUAAAUAAAAGAAGCCCAUCAGAUUUUUAUUUAAAAGGGCCGAGCCCAACAGAUAUUGAAGCCCAAACAUUUAAAAUCUAAGCCCAUCAAUUAAUUAAAUAAGGGCCCAAACACUUAUUAAAAUCGGCCCAAGUCUCGGC